UGGUAAUUCUAGAGCUAAUACAUGCUAAAAACCCCAUCUCGGGGUGUAUUUAUUAGAUAAAAAACCAAUGCCCUUCGGGGCUCCUUGGUGAAUCAUGAUAACUUAACGAAUCGCAUGGCCUUGCGCCGGCGAUGGUUCAUUCAAAUUUCUGCCCUAUCAACUUUCGAUGGUAGGAUAGUGGCCUACCAUGGUAUCAACGGGUAACGGGGAAUUAGGGUUCUAUUCCGGAGAGGGAGCCUGAGAAACGGCUACCACAUCCAAGGAAGGCAGCAGGCGCGCAAAUUACCCAAUCCCGACGCGGGGAGGUAGUGACAAUAAAUACUGAUACAGGGCUCUUUUGGGUCUUGUAAUUGGAAUGAGUACAAUUUAAAUCCCUUAACGAGGAACAAUUGGAGGGCAAGUCUGGUGCCAGCAGCCGCGGUAAUUCCAGCUCCAAUAGCGUAUAUUAAAGUUGUUGCAGUUAAAAAGCUCGUAGUUGAACCUUGGGCCUGGCUGGCCGGUCCGCCUCACCGCGUGUACUGGUCCGGCCGGGCCUUUCCUUCUGGGGAGCCGCAUGCCCUUCACUGGGCGUGCCGGGGAACCAGGACUUUUACUUUGAAAAAAUUAGAGUGUUCAAAGC
rnacentral:rRNA from 1 species